AUUGAACGCUGGCGGCAUGCCUAACACAUGCAAGUCGAACGGCAGCACAGUAAAGACUUCGGUCUUUAUGGGUGGCGAGUGGCGGACGGGUGAGUAACGCGUAGGAAUCUGUCCUGGAGGGUGGGAUGACCCGAGGAAACUCGGGCUAAUACCGCAUGAUACCGAGAGAUCAAAAGCAGGGGACCCUUCGGGGCCUUGCGCUCUAGGAUGAGCCUACGUCGGAUUAGCUAGUUGGUGGGGUAAAGGCCUACCUAGGCGACGAUCCGUAGCUGGUCUGAGAGGAUGACCAGCCACACUGGGACUGAGACACGGCCCAGACUCCUACGGGAGGCAGCAGUGGGGAAUCUUGGACAAUGGGGGAAACCCUGAUCCAGCGAUGCCGCGUGUGUGAAGAAGGCCUUCGGGUUGUAAAGCACUUUAGUUGGGGAAGAAAAGUAAUAAGUAAAUAAUUUAUCGCUCUGACGGUACCCAAAGAAUAAGCACCGGCUAACUCUGUGCCAGCCGCCGCGGUAA
rnacentral:rRNA from 1 species